rnacentral:sRNA from 1 species
GCACCAGCAAAAUCUGGUGCCGGGAUUGGCGUCCUGGUAAUUCGAAUGGCGACACAUGACGCGCCUAGCGUCUUUUUU